GACGUAGGGCGCGAGCGUUGUCCGGAUUUAUUGGGCGUAAAGAGCUCGUAGGCGGCUUGUCGCGUCGACUGUGAAAUCCCGCGGCUCAACUGCGGGUCUGCAGUCGAUACGGGCAGGCUAGAGUUCGGUAGGGGAGACUGGAAUUCCUGGUGUAGCGGUGAAAUGCGCAGAUAUCAGGAGGAACACCGGUGGCGAAGGCGGGUCUCUGGGCCGAUACUGACGGCUGAGGAGCGAAAGCCAGGGGAGCAAACGGG
rnacentral:rRNA from 1 species